GAUAUGCAAACACUUAUCCAACAGAAUGCGAAGAUGUCAGCUGGUUCAUCAAAGCUGUCCUGAAUUGUGGAGACGUUGAUUCCAAGCGGCCAAUGGCUGACAUACACCUGAAACUGUCGGCCCCAUAAUGUAAGACCAAACGAGUACAAAGAGGGAUGGCAUUUGUCUCUGGUGCGUCUACAGACAGUUAUCUUGACCUUAAUAGAACAUCAAAGACACUUGACACUUGACACCAGGUAUCCGGGAAAUACGUCUUCAUUGUUGUGAUGAUUAUUGCCAUGGAAGAGUUACGGUCAUCAUUCUCUAUUGGACUUUGGAAUGUUUCACAGCUGAUGUCUUCAUGAAUGAUUGGCUCUAUCAUCUUCGAAGAUCUCCUCAAGAGCAAACAUGGUGGCAAGUUGAAUGGAAUGGCGGAUUGGUGAAAAAUCAUGAACAUGCUUCUAGAAUAUUUGUAAUGUUUUCAAAAACUAUAAUAAAUGGUUGGGACACGAUACAGAGGACUCUAAUGUAUGGCAACAAAAAUGAUACAAAAAAUAAUGCAUUGGAAAUGUAACUAUGUUUAUCAUUUUACCAAAAUCACUGGCACGAAAUGAUACAGCUCAUAAUGUCUCAAAACGUCUUUGUGUGGACAAAUUUUAGCAUCAUCUCAGUCUACCAGGCUGGAUCUUGAUUACAUCAUACAAACAACAAUAAUGAUGUCAUCUAUUGCAAAAUGAUAGCACAACCCUGUUGUAUUAUUUGGACAUAAUAAUGAGAACAAGAGCUAAGUGUGAAGGCAUCAGUAAGGAAUUACUAAUGACAGAAUAUGAGACACAUGCUAAUGGCAACAGCUAUUACAUUGCUACAUGUAUUGAAACAGUGCUGACAUAGCCGUGCCAACAGUGAUGGCAUCAUACAGUGAGA